rnacentral:rRNA from 1 species
ACAUGCCUACAACAUAGCGUUAAUGCAUCAGAUCCCAUUAAAACUUCACAGUUAGGCGCGCUCGGGGUAGAGUAGCAUUGGGAUGGGUGACCACCUGGAAAUUCCUAGUGUUUUACAUGCC